AGAGUUUGAUCCUGGCUCAGGACGAACGCUAGCUAUAGGCUUAACACAUGCAAGUCGAGGGGCAGCAUGGUCUUAGCUUGCUAAGGCCGAUGGCGACCGGCGCACGGGUGAGUAACACGUAUCCAACCUGCCGUCUACUCUUGGACAGCCUUCUGAAAGGAAGAUUAAUACAAGAUGGCAUCAUGAGUCCGCAUGUUCACAUGAUUAAAGGUAUUCCGGUAGACGAUGGGGAUGCGUUCCAUUAGAUAGUAGGCGGGGUAACGGCCCACCUAGUCUUCGAUGGAUAGGGGUUCUGAGAGGAAGGUCCCCCACAUUGGAACUGAGACACGGUCCAAACUCCUACGGGAGGCAGCAGUGAGGAAUAUUGGUCAAUGGGCGAGAGCCUGAACCAGCCAAGUAGCGUGAAGGAUGACUGCCCUAUGGGUUGUAAACUUCUUUUAUAAAGGAAUAAAGUCGGGUAUGGAUACCCGUUUGCAUGUACUUUAUGAAUAAGGAUCGGCUAACUCCGUGCCAGCAGCCGCGGUAAUACGGAGGAUCCGAGCGUUAUCCGGAUUUAUUGGGUUUAAAGGGAGCGUAGGCGGGUUGUUAAGUCAGUUGUGAAAGUUUGCGGCUCAACCGUAAAAUUGCAGUUGAUACUGGCGACCUUGAGUGCAACAGAGGUAGGCGGAAUUCGUGGUGUAGCGGUGAAAUGCUUAGAUAUCACAAAGAACUCCGAUUGCGAAGGCAGCUUACUGGAUUGUAACUGACGCUGAUGCUCGAAAGUGUGGGUAUCAAAAAGGAUUAGAUACCCUGGUAGUCCACACAGUA
rnacentral:rRNA from 1 species